rnacentral:lncRNA from 1 species
UUAGGGUUUUUUUUUUUUUGUAAAAAAAACACACAGUGGUUUAUUGAAUACUUACAACGUUUACACCUUCAAUAUUAAUUAAAUUCCACUUAGUUUUGGAGGACAGAAGCGCACAAAACAAGAAGCCAGUGGAAAUGUCUUCGACUAGGGAACAACGACAUUUGAAAUGUGACAGCACUAGAUAACCGACCCGAAAGAAAUGUUAGCGGCCCUGUUUUCUGCUUUGAAAUAAAACUUUAUAACCCCCAGGAAUAUUUAUAUCCAAAGGCCGAGUAUUAAAAAGAUACACUUCAUAUAUGCACUAGUGUCCACUUUUUUUUUAUCUGGAAAGAGUUGGGUAAAGGGGCGGGGGGGGGAUAACGCUGGUGUCUACACAGCCAAGAGGGAACAUUCACACACACAGAAUGACGGGGUCCCUUACCACACGGGAGUGUCCUCUUCAUAUUAAAAUAUGGAAUGCUUUUCUUCAAAUAUCCACUUUUUUUUGAGAGGGAGGCUUUGCAGAGAGGUCUCAGCGCAUCCAUUUUCUAAGAUCCUCUCCUUUCGCGACAAGAAUCUUGGGCCCCUGAAGGCGCCUCGGAGCUGGGAAGCGGCGAAUGGACUCUCGGAGGGGUGUGCACAGUGGCCCGGCAAGCUCCCGAGUGGCGGCGGCUGUUCUCCUGGGCUGGACGCGGUGAGGGGAGCAAGCAGAUUUUCCC